AUACAACGCUAAACGCAUUAAAUUGCACGUGUAAAAUAAUUUAUUACAGGUGUAUUACACAAUGUGUAAUAUCAACUUGUCACUUGUGACGACUUUUUUAAUACAAUGUAUAAUAUGGUGUAUUACACAAUGUAUAAUAUGGCGAUGAUCAGUAGUUGGUCUGAGAGGAUGAUCAGCCACACUGGGACUGAGACACAGCCCAGACUUCUACGGGAGGCAGUAGUGGGGAAUUUUUCGCAAUGGGUGAAAGCCUAACAGAGCAAACCCGCAUGGAGGUAGAAAGCCCAUGGGUCGUGAACUUCUUUGUAUCUGGGGAAUAAGUAUCGGCUAACUCUGUGCUAGCAACCGCGGUAAUACACUAUGUGUGUAU
rnacentral:ncRNA from 2 species